GAAAAAAAAAAUUGAAAAUAAAACAAAUCGAAAAAAUCAACAAAUAAAAUAAGUGAAAAAAUAGAAUAUCAAAAUUCUAGAAUUUCCCAUUUCCAUUGUUUUGUGAAAAAAAGUGAAACAGAAAACAAAAAUAAACCAUCAAUAAACAACAGAAAUUGGAGUAAUAAAACAAACUGUCAACCAGCCAACCAACCAAACACACACCCAUCCAAAUACAAGCACCCACCCACCCAAUUUGGUUAACAAAUGACAUUGCCUUGGAUUUAAAUAAAUACAACGGAUAAUAAAGAAUUAUAUCAUCAGUCAUUCAAGUUGUUCGUCGCGCCGCAUUGGUGAGUGAAGAUCACGCCAAGUCGAUGUGAAAUGCCAAACAGCUGCAGCGAACGAAAUCAAAGUGAAACAAAUCAAUGCCGCCGAAAAAAAUGAAAACAAGAGGUGUGUGCCCAAUGCAACUACAACAGCAACAACAACAAUAACCGAUUGACUGACUUACUGACUGACUUUCUUUUUAUUAUUCAAAAAAAAA
rnacentral:sRNA from 1 species